AUGUUGCAAGAGUCAAGAGAUAUGAUUUUGCUCAAGUAUUUAAGCAGAGAAUGCCGUCAUUAUUAUCAUCACUAUCACCACCAUCAUCACCAUCAUCAUCACCCUACUCCUCCUCAUCCUCAUCACUAUCAUUAUCAUCUUCAUCAUCAUCGUCACCCUCACAUCAUCACUAUCAUCACCCUGACCAUCACUAUCAGCAUCAUCAUCAUCGCCCUUAUCACCCUCAUCAUCAUCACCACCACCAUCAUCACCCUCCUCUUCCUCAACAUCAUCACCACUAUCAUUACAUCUUCUUCUUCAUCAUCAUCAUCGUCACCCUCACAUCAUCACUGUCAUCACCCUGACCAUCACUAUCAGCAUCAUCAUCAUCAUCGCCCUCAUCACCCUCAUCAUCAUCAUUACCACCACCAUCAUCAUCACCAUCAUGAUCAUCAUCACCCUCCUCUUCCUCAACAUCAUCACCCUCAUCAUCAUUACCACCAUCAUCACCCUCCUCUUCCUCAACAUCAUCACCACUAUCAUUAUCAUCUUCAUCAUCAUCGUCACCCUCACAUCAUCACUAUCAUCACCCUGAUCAUCACUGUCAUCAUCUUCAUCACCCUCAUCACCCUCAUCAUCAUCAUCAUCACUAUCAUCUUCAUCACCCUCACAUCAUUAUUAUCAUCACCCUCAUCAUCAUUACCACCAUCAUCACCCUCCUCUUCCUCAACAUCAUCACCACUAUCAUUAUCAUCUUCUUCAUCAUCAUCAGCAUCACCCACAUCAUCACUAUCAUCAUCAUCACCCUCACAUCAUUAUUAUUGUCACCCUCAUCAUCACUGUCAUCAUCAUCAUCAUCACUAUCACCACCCUCAUCAUCACUGUCAUCAUCAUCAUCACCCUCAUCACCCUCAUCACCACUCUCAUCAUCAUCACUAUCAUCAUCAUCAUCAUCAUCACCCUCACAUCAUCAUCAUCACCCACAUCAUCACUGUCAUCAUCAUCACCCUCAUCAUCAUCAUUACCCUCAUCAUCAUCACACCACCAUCAUCAUCAUCACCCUCAUCACCCUCAUCAUCAUCACCACCUUCAUCAUCAUCACUAUCAUCAUCAUCACUAUUAUCAUCAUCACCCUCACAUCAUUAUUAUCGACACCCUCAUCAUCACUGUGAUCAUCAUCAUCAUCAUCAUCGCCAUCAUUAUAUUUACUUUGAGGGAAUGUCAAGUUGGCUUUUGCAUUUGUGUUUGAUUCAGUCUGGUUUUAUUUUGUAA
rnacentral:lncRNA from 1 species